GACGAACGCUGGCGGCGUGCCUAAUACAUGCAAGUAGAACGCAGUUGCGAACGGGUGAGUAACGCGUAUGUACCUGCCUCAUAGCGGGGGAUAACUAUUUGAAACGAUAGCUAAUACCGCAUACUUUUAGAUGGACCUGCGUUGUAUUAGCUAGUUGGUGGGGUAAAGGCUCACCAAGGCGACGAUACAUAGCCGACCUGAGAGGGUGGACGGGCAAACUGGGAAUGGGACACGGCCCAGACUCCUAAGGGAGGCAGCAGUAGGGAAUCUUCGGCAAUGGACGGAAGUCUGACCGAGCCACGGCGGGUGAGUGAAGAAGGUUUUCGGAUCGGAAAGCUAUGUUGUUAGAGAAGCGGUAACUAAACAGAAAGGGACGGCUAACUACGUGCCAGCAGCCGCGGUAAUAC
rnacentral:rRNA from 1 species